AGUAGUAAUAUCUCACAAAAGCAAUCUGCUUCUUGUUCUUCACAUCGAGCUCUUACCCCUGAGAGGCCUUCAAGGUCAAAUUGUUUUCGAGCUCUUCCUGUAACAGCCAACUUUUAUCUGUUUUUGAGCAAUACAUCUGCAGUCUGGAGGGAUCACUUUAUUUUCGAAGAGGACGAGGAAGCGAUAAUCGUAGAACCAUCCAAGCGCGGAAAGUAUUGUGUUGUUUUCGACCCGUUGGACACUUGGAUGGAUCUUCCAACAUCGACUGUUGUGUUUCCAUAGGAACUGGAGAAGAACAGAAGAAACUGGAUGUUUUGUCGAAUGAAGUUUUGUGAAGGCUUUGGUCAGCACUGGCAGAACAGUGAGUGUUCAUUAAUAAUUCUUUAACUUCAUAUUUUAAGUGUAAAUGCUUUUAUAUUUGGCUUGCAUACUUUUGUGCAGAGGUAUGCACUCAUUUUCACUUGAUUAAUGGAAAUAACAAUUUAUUUAGGAAUAUGUUCUGUUAUAUGUUCUUAUGGUCCUAAGAAUAAGGAGCCUUUAGCCAUGAUUUUCUGGCCUCAUUAUAAUUACUGACUUAAUUAUUAAAAUCCUGAAAAUGGUAUGAUGCUUUCUUUUGAGGUAUUAUUUUUAGAAUUACCGCAUCCAUUAUUAUGGUUGAUGGAUUAUUGAUUCUAUUAAUUUUAUCUAAUCUGUUUUUGUUGAAGGAUACCUUUCAAAAUUUGCUGCUAUUGAGAAAAGUUAGACCAUCUUAUCAGAGGGUGAAGUGGCAUCUCUUCUUUUAGCUUUUGCUUAGGGUUCAACUCGAGCUUGAGCUCGAACUUAAAUGAGCCGGCUCAGCUAGCAGUGUAGAGUUGAAGAAGAGAAUAAUGGUGACAACAUGAAAAGGCCAUUCAUUCUUCAUCGCUGAAAAGGUUUACUUUGACCGCAUCAUCAUCCAGCAUAAUCUCUACUACAUAUCUACUACAGCAAGGCUGCUCUCUGCCUUGAAUAAAGAAGCUGCUGAACGACGUGAUCUUCCUAAUAUGUUUGUUGUUUAACAAGCAGUCUUGUAUCAGAGAAGCGUUCAGUCUUGUAUCAGAGAAGCGCUCAAAUUGGUAUUUUAGUUGUGUUAGAAAAGUUUGCAUUAGAAUAAAUUAUGUGAAACCCACCACACGUGUACUUAAAAACAAUAGUUCCUGUGGCAACGCGCGGGCAUUCCUACUUUCUCAAAAAACAAUUAAGAUCAUAACACCUGGACGAGUUCUUCAUUAAAAAAAAGACAUCUACAUUAAGAUCAUGUUGUAUAACAGAUUUAUAAAUCGGCAUAACUUUGCAGGGUCUAAAUGUGUGAAGAAUUCGCCAAAGCAAGUGAUUCAAUCUAGCGAUUCGUCUGAUGAAUGGAUGAAAAAGGGGCAGAAACUGGUGGCUUUUAUUUCAUUUUAUGUCUGUAUAUUCUCUCGGCCCCUCUUCUCCCCUGCACUUUGUUCUUGUUUGUGAGGUCAACCGACUCAAGCUCGAGUAGCUAUCACACGAUGUAUAGAUAGGUGAACCACGACCGAGACAUGAUUGUGGAUUAACCACAUAUUCGAUGUAUACAAAUCAACAUGCAUGUGAUAUAUUUCAGUACAUAAAAAUUAAUCAUACAUUAAUACUUAAUAUUUCAAUUAAAUAUUCACACAGUUUCGA